UAGAGCAAGGAGUGCCCUGAGGGGUGGGAGAGGUGGUGAUGAGGAGAAGAGGGGAUAUGAAAGUCCAGGCUGGAGCAAUAAGAGAGGAUCAGAUUAUGCUGGACUAAGGGUCUGCUUUUCAUUCUUAGAGGGAUGGUCCAGAUCAAGUCUAGGUUUUGAAAAAGACCACUUGGGCUACCAUUGGAGAAAGUAAUCUUGGAGUUGGAAAGAACCUCUAGAUUAGGUCUUCUCAGUCUUGGUACUACUAACAUUUUGGGCCAGUUAAUUCUUUUUGGAGGGCUGUCCUGUGUACUGCAGGAUACUGGGCAAUGUCCCUGGCUUCUGCCUUUU